GAGGGCGCAGAGAAGAGGAGGGACGUAUUCUUCGGAGCAUGAAGCAGCAUGUCCGAUAAAAUGUCCAGCUUCCUCUACAUAGGGGACAUCGUGUCCCUGUACGCGGAGGGCUCGGUCAACGGUUUCAUCAACACGCUGGGGCUAGUGGAUGACAGAUGUGUGGUGCACCCAGAGGCGGGGGACCUCGCCAACCCUCCCAAGAAGUUCCGAGACUGCCUCUUUAAGGUGUGUCCUAUGAACCGAUAUUCUGCUCAGAAACAAUAUUGGAAAGCCAAGCAAGUUAAACAAGGGAACCACACAGAGGCAGCCUUGCUGAAGAAAUUACAGCAUGCUGCAGAACUGGAACAAAAACAAAAUGAAUCAGAGAAUAAGAAGCUGUUGGGAGAAAUUGUGAAAUAUAGUAAUGUUAUACAACUACUGCAUAUAAAAAGCAACAAGUAUCUGACUGUCAACAAGAGAUUACCCGCUUUACUGGAGAAGAAUGCCAUGCGCGUGUCCUUGGAUGCUGCAGGAAAUGAAGGGUCUUGGUUUUAUAUUCAUCCCUUCUGGAAGCUGAGAAGCGAGGGUGACAAUAUUGUUGUUGGAGAUAAAGUUGUUUUGAUGCCCGUGAAUGCAGGACAGCCGCUACAUGCCAGCAACAUAGAGCUUCUCGAUAAUCCAGGGUGUAAAGAGGUGAAUGCUGUUAAUUGCAACACUAGCUGGAAAAUCACUCUAUUCAUGAAAUAUAGUUCCUAUCGAGAGGAUGUACUAAAAGGGGGUGAUGUUGUUCGAUUGUUUCAUGCGGAACAAGAGAAGUUUCUGACUUGUGAUGAAUAUGAGAAAAAACAGCACAUUUUCCUUCGUACAACUUUGCGUCAAUCAGCCACUUCUGCUACCAGUUCGAAAGCACUCUGGGAAAUAGAGGUAGUUCAUCAUGACCCAUGCCGUGGAGGUGCAGGACAAUGGAAUAGCUUGUUCAGGUUUAAACAUCUUGCAACCGGGAACUAUUUAGCUGCAGAGCUUAACCCUGAUUAUCGAGAUGCCCAAAAUGAAGGAAAAAAUGUGAGAGAUGGAGAUCUUCCAACUGCAAAGAAGAAACGCCAGGCAGAGGAGAAGAUCAUGUACACUUUGGUCUCAGUCCCACAUGGAAAUGACAUUGCAUCCCUUUUUGAACUGGAUGCCACAACUCUUCAGAGAGCGGACUGCCUGGUCCCAAGGAAUUCGUACGUUCGGUUAAGACAUUUAUGUACAAACACGUGGGUAACCAGCACUAGCAUCCCCAUAGACACAGAUGAAGAGAGGCCUGUUAUGUUGAAGAUCGGAACUUGCCAAACAAAAGAAGAUAAAGAAGCUUUUGCCAUUGUGUCUGUCCCGCUGUCUGAGGUCCGAGACUUAGACUUCGCCAAUGACGCAAAUAAAGUGCUGGCGACCACAGUUAAAAAGCUGGAAAAUGGCACAAUAACUCAGAAUGAAAGGAGGUUUGUGACCAAAUUAUUGGAAGACCUUAUCUUCUUUGUUGCUGAUGUACCUAACAAUGGACAAGACGUUCUGGAUGUGGUAAUCACCAAGCCAAACCGAGAACGUCAGAAAUUAAUGAGGGAACAAAACAUAUUGGCACAGGUAUUUGGGAUUCUGAAAGCACCCUUUAAGGAGAAAGCCGGAGAAGGCUCAAUGCUGAGACUUGAAGAUCUGGGGGAUCAAAGAUAUGCCCCCUACAAGUACAUGCUGAGGCUGUGCUACCGUGUGCUGAGACAUUCACAGCAGGACUACCGGAAAAAUCAGGAAUAUAUUGCUAAGAAUUUCUGUGUCAUGCAAUCCCAGAUUGGCUAUGAUAUUUUGGCAGAAGAUACCAUCACAGCUUUGUUGCACAACAACAGAAAACUACUAGAGAAACACAUCACAGCAAAAGAAAUAGAAACAUUUGUUAGUUUACUCAGGAGAAAUCGGGAGCCAAGGUUUUUGGAUUAUUUAUCAGAUCUCUGUGUGUCUAAUACCACGGCUAUACCUGUAACUCAAGAACUCAUCUGCAAAUUUAUGCUGAGCCCAGGCAAUGCAGAUAUUCUCAUUCAAACUAAGCUGGUCUCAAUGCAAGGAGACAACCCCAUGGAGAGCGCCAUCCUUUCAGAUGACAUUGAUGAGGAAGAAGUUUGGCUCUACUGGAUUGACAGCAACAAGGAACCUCACGGCAAAGCUAUCAGGCACCUUGCUCAGGAAGCCAAAGAAGGCACCAAGGCUGAUUUAGAAGUUCUUACCUACUACAGGUACCAGCUAAAUCUCUUUGCAAGGAUGUGCUUGGAUCGCCAGUAUCUGGCCAUAAACCAGAUUUCUACGCAGCUCUCUGUUGAUUUGAUCCUGCGGUGUAUGUCAGAUGAGAGCCUGCCCUUUGACCUCCGAGCAUCUUUUUGUCGCCUUAUGCUGCACAUGCAUGUUGACCGGGAUCCCCAGGAGUCUGUGGUGCCUGUUCGCUAUGCCAGGCUCUGGACAGAAAUCCCCACAAAGAUCACGAUUCAUGAAUAUGAUUCUAUAACAGACUCUUCCAGAAAUGAUAUGAAGAGGAAAUUUGCACUGACAAUGGAGUUUGUUGAAGAAUACUUGAAAGAGGUUGUAAAUCAGCCUUUUCCUUUUGGAGAUAAAGAAAAAAACAAACUGACAUUUGAGGUGGUCCACUUGGCUCGGAAUCUUAUAUACUUUGGAUUUUAUAGUUUCAGUGAAUUAUUAAGGCUAACAAGAACACUUCUGGCUAUCCUUGACAUCGUUCAGGCCCCCAUGUCAUCGUAUUUUGAAAGAUUAAGCAAAUUUCAAGAUGGAGGAAACAAUGUCAUGAGAACCAUCCAUGGGGUGGGAGAAUUGAUGACCCAGAUGGUGCUCAGCAGAGGUUCCAUCUUCCCCAUGAGUGUGCCUGACAUCCAGCCCAGCCUGCAUCCCAGCAAGCAGGGGAGCCCCGCCGAGCACGAGGAUGUCACUGUCAUGGACACCAAGCUGAAGAUUAUUGAGAUUUUACAGUUUAUCCUGAGUGUCAGACUGGAUUAUAGGAUCUCAUAUAUGCUGUCAAUAUAUAAGAAGGAAUUUGGGGAGAACAAUGGAAAUGCUGAAACGUCUACCAAUGGCUCUCCCGAUACAUUGCUGCCAUCAGCUGUUGUUCCUGACAUAGAUGAAAUUGCAGCUCAGGCAGAAACUAUGUUUGCUGGAAGAAAGGAAAAAAAUCCAGUUCAACUUGAUGAUGAAGGAGGCAGGACAUUUUUACGGGUCCUCAUUCAUCUGAUCAUGCAUGACUACCCUCCUUUGCUAUCAGGAGCCCUGCAGCUGCUGUUCAAGCACUUCAGCCAGAGAGCGGAAGUUUUACAGGCAUUUAAACAGGUACAGUUACUGGUGUCCAAUCAGGACGUAGAUAACUACAAGCAAAUCAAGGCAGACCUAGACCAGCUUCGACUAACUGUAGAAAAAUCCGAGUUAUGGGUUGAGAAGAGCAGCAGCUAUGAGAAUGGAGAAAUGGGUGAAAAUCAAGUAAAAGGUGGUGAAGAGCCAAUUGAGGACUCAAACAUUUUAAGUCCAGUGCAAGAUGGAACAAAGAAACCUCAGAUUGACAGCAAUAAGAGCAACAACUACCGGAUUGUAAAGGAGAUUUUGAUUAGGCUAAGUAAACUCUGUAUACAGAAUAAAAAGUGUCGGAAUCAACAUCAACGAUUACUGAAAAAUAUGGGAGCCCAUUCAGUGGUGUUAGACCUGCUGCAGAUACCCUAUGAAAAGAAUGAUGAAAAGAUGAAUGAAGUAAUGAAUCUGGCCCAUACAUUCCUGCAGAAUUUCUGUCGGGGAAAUCCACAGAAUCAAGUUCUCCUCCAUAAACAUCUGAAUUUGUUCUUAACCCCUGGUCUCCUUGAAGCAGAAACCAUGCGGCACAUCUUCAUGAACAAUUAUCAUCUGUGCAAUGAAAUUAGCGAGAGGGUUAUCCAGCACUUCGUGCACUGCAUUGAGACACACGGCCGCCACGUGGAGUACCUGAGGUUUCUGCAGACGAUUGUCAAAGCAGAUGGUAAAUAUGUGAAGAAAUGCCAGGAUAUGGUGAUGACCGAGUUGAUAAAUGGGGGUGAAGAUGUGCUGGUAUUUUACAAUGAUAGAGCAUCAUUUCCCAUCCUUCUCCAUAUGAUGUGUUCAGAGAGGGACCGAGGGGACGAGAGUGGCCCCUUAGCCUACCACAUCACCCUUGUGGAGUUGCUGGCAGCAUGCACAGAGGGGAAAAAUGUCUACACUGAAAUCAAGUGCAAUUCCCUUCUGCCCCUGGACGACAUAGUGAGGGUGGUGACCCAUGACGACUGCAUCCCUGAGGUUAAAAUUGCUUAUGUGAAUUUUGUUAAUCACUGUUACGUUGACACUGAAGUGGAAAUGAAGGAAAUCUACACAAGUAACCACAUUUGGAAAUUAUUUGAGAGCUUCUUGGUGGAUAUGGCAAGGGUUUGCAACACAACUACAGACAGGAAACACGCAGACACCUUUUUGGAGAAGUGUGUUACUGAGUCAAUCAUGAACGUUGUGAGCGGCUUUUUUAAUUCUCCCUUUUCAGACAACAGUACCAGCCUGCAGACACAUCAGCCCGUUUUUAUUCAGCUGCUUCAGUCUGCCUUCAGAAUUUACAAUUGCACCUGGCCAAAUCCAGCACAGAAAGCCUCGGUGGAGUCCUGUAUCAGAACUUUGGCUGAAGUGGCAAAGAAUCGUGGAAUUGCCAUUCCAGUGGAUUUGGACGGCCAAGUUAAUACUCUUUUUAUGAAGAGUCACUCCAAUAUGGUGCAGAGAGCAGCCAUGGGUUGGAGACUAUCAGCUCGCUCUGGACCACGCUUUAAGGAAGCUCUUGGAGGGCCUUCUUGGGAUUAUAGAAAUAUUAUUGAAAAGUUACAGGAUGUAGUGGCGUCCUUGGAGCAACAGUUCAGCCCGAUGAUGCAGGCUGAAUUCUCUGUGUUGGUUGAUGUGCUGUACAGUCCAGAGCUACUGUUUCCUGAGGGGAGCGAUGCAAGAAUAAGAUGCGGUGCUUUCAUGUCCAAGUUGAUCAAUCAUACAAAGAAACUGAUGGAGAAAGAAGAAAAAUUGUGCAUUAAAAUUCUUCAAACUUUACGAGAAAUGCUAGAGAAGAAAGACAGCUUUGUGGAAGAGGGUACUACAUUAAGAAAAAUACUCCUGAAUCGGUACUUUAGAGGCGAUUAUGGUGUCUGUAUGAACGGACACCUCUCUGGAGCCUACUGCAAAUCUGCACAAGGAGGAGGAAGCUUUUCUGGACAAGAUUCAGAUAAGAUGGGGAUAUCCAUGUCAGAUAUUCAGUGUCUACUGGAUAAAGAAGGUGCAUCUGAACUUGUCAUCGAUGUUAUAGUGAGCACCAAAAAUGACAGAAUUUUUUCGGAAGGCAUUUUACUUGGCAUUGCCUUGCUUGAAGGAGGAAAUACACAAACUCAGUAUUCCUUCUACCAGCAGUUGCAUGAACAAAAAAAGUCAGAAAAAUUCUUCAAAGUUCUCUAUGACCGAAUGAAGGCUGCUCAGAAAGAGAUAAGAUCAACAGUGACAGUUAAUACCAUAGACUUAGGUAACAAAAAAAGGGAUGAUGACAACGAAUUGAUGACAUCUGGCCCACGAAUGAGAGUAAGAGAUUCAUCACUACAUUUAAAAGAGGGAAUGAAAGGGCAAUUAACAGAAGCUUCUUCGGCAACCUCCAAAGCAUACUGUGCGUACAGAAGAGAAAUGGAUCCAGAAAUAGACAUCAUUUGCACAGGAUCAGAAGCGGGAAAUGCUGAGGAAAAGUCUGCGGAGGAAGUAACAAUGAGUCCUGCCAUUGCCAUCAUGCAGCCGAUUCUGAGAUUUCUUCAGUUACUCUGUGAGAAUCACAACCGGGAACUGCAGAAUUUCUUGAGGAAUCAAAACAACAAAACAAAUUACAACCUUGUCUGUGAGACCCUUCAGUUUUUGGACUGCAUUUGUGGAAGUACGACGGGUGGCCUGGGCCUCUUGGGUCUCUACAUCAAUGAGAAGAAUGUAGUGCUGGUCAACCAGACUCUGGAGAGCUUGACUGAGUAUUGCCAGGGCCCGUGCCAUGAAAAUCAGACAUGUAUUGCUACUCAUGAAUCUAAUGGGAUUGAUAUCAUCAUUGCUUUGAUUCUAAAUGACAUAAACCCUCUUGGUAAAUAUCGAAUGGACCUGGUGCUCCAACUAAAGAACAAUGCCUCCAAGCUUUUGCUGGCCAUCAUGGAAAGUAGACAUGACAGUGAGAAUGCAGAAAGAAUUCUAUUUAACAUGAGACCCAGAGAACUGGUGGAUGUGGUGAAGAAUGCCUAUAACCAAGGAUUGGAAUGCGAUCAUGGGGAUGAUGAGGGCGGAGAUGAUGGUGUUUCCCCAAAAGAUGUUGGACACAAUAUCUAUAUUCUGGCCCAUCAGUUGGCACGCCACAACAAACUCCUGCAGCAGAUGCUCAAACCAGGAUCCGAUCCAGAUGACGGAGAUGAAGCCUUAAAGUAUUAUGCCAACCACACUGCACAGAUCGAGAUUGUUCGGCAUGAUAGGACAAUGGAACAAAUAGUGUUUCCUGUCCCCAAUAUAUGUGAAUACCUCACGCGAGAAUCCAAGUUCCGGGUGUUCAAUACCACGGAAAGGGAUGAACAAGGAAGUAAAGUGAAUGACUUUUUCCAGCAAACGGAAGAUCUCUACAAUGAGAUGAAGUGGCAGAAGAAAAUCAGGAGUAAUCCUGCCCUGUUCUGGUUCUCAAGGCACAUUUCUCUCUGGGGGAGCAUCUCCUUCAACCUGGCUGUGUUCAUCAACUUAGCUGUGGCUCUCUUCUACCCAUUUGGGGAUGAUGGAGAUGAAGGUACACUUUCACCAUUGUUCUCGGUUCUGCUUUGGAUAGCAGUUGCAGUCUGCACAUCUAUGCUGUUUUUCUUCUCCAAGCCUGUGGGUAUUCGGCCAUUUCUUGUGUCAGUAAUGCUCAGAUCAAUAUAUACAAUAGGUCUUGGACCUACGUUAAUACUUCUUGGUGCAGCUAAUCUUUGUAAUAAAAUCGUAUUUCUGGUGAGUUUUGUCGGAAAUCGUGGCACGUUCACCCGAGGGUACCGAGCGGUCAUCCUGGAUAUGGCCUUUCUCUACCAUGUAGCGUAUGUCCUGGUUUGCAUGCUGGGCCUCUUUGUUCACGAAUUCUUCUAUAGCUUCCUGCUUUUUGAUUUAGUAUAUAGAGAAGAGACUCUGCUCAAUGUCAUAAAAAGCGUCACACGGAAUGGCCGCUCCAUUAUUCUAACUGCAGUCCUCGCCCUCAUCCUUGUCUACCUGUUUUCCAUUAUUGGAUUCCUUUUUCUGAAGGAUGACUUCACUAUGGAGGUGGAUAGGCUGAAAAACAGAACUCCCCUUACAGGUAGCAAUGCAGUUUCUGCUAUGACUUUAACUUCAAUCCUGGGAACAUGUGAAAAGGACAACUGCUCACCCACAAUACCGGCUUCAAAUACAGCUGCUGAGGAAUAUGAAGAUGGAAUUGAAAGAACGUGUGACACCCUCCUUAUGUGCAUUGUGACUGUCCUGAACCAGGGCCUCAGGAACGGCGGCGGCGUGGGAGAUGUGCUGAGAAGACCCUCAAAAGAAGAGCCCUUGUUUGCUGCCCGAGUGGUGUAUGACCUUCUUUUUUAUUUCAUUGUCAUCAUUAUCGUUCUUAACUUGAUUUUUGGGGUUAUCAUUGAUACUUUUGCGGAUCUCAGAAGUGAAAAACAGAAAAAAGAAGAAAUUCUAAAGACAACCUGCUUCAUCUGUGGACUCGAGAGGGACAAGUUUGAUAAUAAAACGGUUUCUUUUGAGGAGCACAUCAAGUCAGAACACAAUAUGUGGCAUUAUUUGUACUUCCUAGUCCUGGUGAAGGUGAAAGACCCGACUGAAUACACCGGACCUGAAAGUUACGUGGCUCAAAUGAUUGUGAACUCUCUCCAGAACCAGGACAGGAGGGAGGAGAGCCCACAAGCUUAUUGCAACAUGAACUGUCUCAUUCUCAUCCAAGCAGUGCACACCCAAGAGAACAGGCACUGGUCCUGGAUUUUAAUGGGCAGGAGAAGAAAGAGAGAUAUUAAGCUUUGGAAGGAUGGAAACAAAAAGUCACUUGCCGGAGAAGAAUUUGGACUGGUUUCCUCGGAUGCGAGCUAUGUCCCUUGUUAGCAAUGAAGGUGACAGUGAACAAAAUGAGAUUCGGAACCUGCAGGAGAAGUUGGAAUCGACCAUGAGUCUGGUCAGACAGCUGUCGGGUCAGCUGGCGGAGCUCAAGGAGCAGAUGACAGAACAAAGGAAGAAUAAGCAGAGACUGGGCUUUCUCGGAUCAAACACACCCCAUGUGAAUCAUCACAUGCCACCGCACUGAUACCAUGGGGGCAGCCGUGACUAGCCUUUCAUCAGUGUACUGCCUGAUCACUGAAUAAAGAACUGAGAUGGAGGGGAGUGAACAGUGCCUAUUGUUGAAAAGUUAAAAACAACCAAGUGCCAAGAUGUUGAGUGGUUUAGCUCCGAGAACAAUUUCUAACUGUGUUUUCAUGGUUGAGAAGACCAAACUUAAAAUGCAGCCACUAAAAAGCACACAUCACGCAUUCUUAAUGCAAAGAGAGGUCCCUUGCUCAAAUGGACGGAGAAGGUAGGGGGAGGCGGAGUGGAAGGAGAUGCAGGGCGGAGAGAGCUACCUUUGGCUGAUCUGUAAGAGUCCAUUUUGUCUUAAAUGCUGACUGCAACCUUUGUCAUGGUUGGUUGGAAUUUCUUUCUUUUAAUGAUGGCAUAUGGGUCAGUGAUACAGGAAGUCAUUUUGGUGGCUAAGUUUUACUAAGGGAAAUAACUGAAAAGAUUAAAAAUGAGAGUUGCAAACAAAAAUGUUAAUGCUUCCAAACCGUAGCUGUCACAGGCCAAUUUCCUUAUUUAUAACCUGCAACACAAUGGAUUUACAGCUCUAGGAACUAGAGCUUUGGAGCUUAUGCCCCUCGGGCUGACAAUGCGACUGGAAUGUGAUUUCCUUCUCCCAGAUUCAGAGGGGCUCUGUCAAUAUGGAGUACAAAAAGAGGUUUUCAUAAAACUUGUUUAAAAACAUGCUUAAAGUCAUGUAGAAGCUAAGAUUUUUAAAAGAUUUGGGGACAAAAAAGAUGACAGUAAGCCCCAAGGACAUAUGUAUGCUAUUAAAAUACAUUGAGAUUAAUAAAUGAACAUGCUUAAAGGCGACAGGAAAUAUUGAGAAACAUGAUGGUGGCAUUGCCUUUUAUAGAUAUGGAGUAAAAGCUAUUUGAUUCAUGUUUGCUGUGCUUAAGAACUGAGUGGUUUUAUUUAUCCUCUUCUUGCAGUUAGGAAAAAAAUCCAAGAAACAUUGAAUACUCAAGAAAAUGCAGAGUUUCAAUCGCGUAUUUUAAACUGUAUCAGGAAGAGCUUUUCAAAAUGUAAAGAGAUAAUAAUCUCUUCCUCAAAUUGUUUGUAUGUUAAAUUAUGCAACCAGAAUUUGUGGAGGGAGAAAUUAACCUGCCAUGCUUAUUAUUCUUAGCGAUUAUGCUUUUAGAAUGUUAAGACAAAAUUCAGAUCAUGAAAGUGUUAGGAGAACUGCCACGUGGCAAGAGAGCAGGCACAUGACACCAGACUCUUGGAGGUGCUCUGCAAGCUGACCUUUCCUAGUCACUGCCCCCAAAAGAACAAAAAAUUGCAUUUUUGAACUCUCAUGUUAUCACCACCAAGGUUUAAGUUCAGGACAGCGUUUGCUGUGACCAUUUUUAAAGCUUUUGGAUUAUUUUAAUAUAGUUUAAGCUAUUGGCUCCUAAAAUUCUCAAAUCAUGGUCUGGGUAGAUGAUAAAGGAUGCCUGAACCAAUCCUUUUUCCACACACCCCAUUAAAAUGUAGACUUGGAGGAAAGCUGUUGAAACCCAGAGCAAUGAAUUUUUGAACUGAAUCUGCUGGUACACCUCCCCCGCUCCUCCAAAUCCCUCCCCAAGUUAAGAAUUCCUUACUCUGAUCUGGUAGUAUUUUUCCUAACCAGUUGCUGAAGGAUCAUGAUUCAAAGAUACUCAGAAACUGGGAUAUAUAUCUGUAUGCAACACAGAACUUUGAACCUAGAAGGCAUUCUGUAAAUGUAUGAGAAAUUCCAGUGUCAUUCGAUCCUAAUGCUUCAUUGAAACUUUAUAUCAUAUAUUUGAUUUUUAAAAAUGGCUUCACCAAAACUGAAGUAGACCAAAGCAGCCAUUUUUUUAAAAAUCCAAGACCAUUAUUGUUAUUAACAGUAUUAGAUGAAAAGUACCUUUCAAAGUAUUUUAAUUAGGCAGAGAGUUUCAUGGGUAGGGAAAAGAAGAGAAAGGUGGAAAACAUUGGCUAUGUUCCAAUGUCAGAACUUAUCCCUGUUUAACACAAAGUAAAAUUUUUCUGAUGGAUGUUCUAGCAUCAAGAAAAUAAGUUAAUUUGUACAGAUGAGAGCAACCUGCCUUUCAGAUGAACCAUCUAGUCUUUCCUUACACUUUUUUAUAGAGAAUGAGCCAUUGGGUAUGUACUGCCAUCAAGAAAUGGCUUCACCUCUCCAACCAUUGUGGAGUGGCAGGUCACCGUGUCACAGUGUGUUUUCUCCUAUGAGAAGUAUUCAAAAGCAAUUACAACUAACCAGACUCUUAUUUAGUCAAAAUUGAAAUAUUUCUCAGUUCUGUUUCUCUCUUUCCUGCCUAAAUACUUUAAGACUAUAAAGCAAAAUAAACAAAAGCAAACAAAAAAAGGCAGUUUCAAGGCUAUGAAAUUCAUGAUGGAGGAGAUAAUCACGGGGAAAUUUGACAUUCGCUAUAAAUUUAUGUUUGUUUUGUAUAUGUUUGUUAAUGCAACUGGAAUAUUGACCUAGGCAAGUAUCAAUUAACAUUCUCAUAUUUAUAUAGCAAUAUUAAAAUAAAUAUAAUCAUCUUUGAUCUUGUUGUUAAGGAAAAUGGUUUACUAUUUAGUUAUUAAAACCCAUAUUGGUUUAAAAGUAUGUUUCCGCUGAACAUAAUUUUUAAUUUCAAAAGGAUUUUAUUCCCCUACAUGUUCCAUUCUGAGGUCCAAGAGUUUCAUGCAAGUAUGUUUUAAGAUUAUAAUAUUAAAAAAUAUUGUAAAGCAAUUAUACUCCAAUAAAGAUGUUAAAAAAACCAAAAUAAAUAAAUAAAUAAAUUUUAUACUUGUAAAA